UACAAUUUCAUCUCAAUUUAAAAGUUGGAUUUAUAACUGAGAUAAUCAAUAAUCUAAAAACAUCAUAAUCAAUUCCUUUUCAGUAAAAUUAAGAUGAAUGUUGGAAAUAAGCAACCCAUAAAUCAAUCAAAAUUAAAGUUUUCAAAAGUACGAAUAUUUUUGUAACUUUCUAAAAAAGAUCAUCCUAUCAUGAAACCGAUCUCACUCACCUUAACUUUUCGUACAAGUAUACCAAUACUUCAAUUAGACAAAACUUUUGAUUUAAUCUGAUCAUUUUUUCUAACGACUGCUCUUUCGAAAACUCAUAUCUAAUCUUUAUGGUUUCAGAGGACAUUAUUCAAAGAUGAGUCGAAAGAUCAGAUAACAAAACGUAGAGCAUUUAAGUGAAAAGAGACCUAUUUCCACAAAAGCGAA